CGCUUUCGCUUUCACUUUCCCAAGUGCCGAGGGUUCUUCUUGCUCUUGGGGUACCUGGAAAAAGAAAAGGGAGGCUUUGCGCUUUUCCCUGGCCGCUGGAAGCUGGACGUUAAUGCCCGCGCCCCGCGAGUGCUGAUGUUGGAUAACCAUGUAAUCAUUCAUUUGGAGAAACAUUUACUUUUACAUGAAGAAAUUGAAAUAGGUAAGAAAAAUUGAUCCAAUUUUCUGAUUGUAAAUGAUUGUAAUUGUUCUAGUGAGUGACCCUUAUCGAAAAGGCAAGAUCAGUGAGUUGUUAAGUUUUGGCUUGAACAUCAAUGAAGGGAAAUACUGUGAAGGUAGAAAGGUAGAUUGAAUUCAGUUUGAGAAAGGCUUGAAUGACAAUCUAAGGAGUUUGUAUUCUAUUUGGAACUGCAGGCUUUUUUAAAAAAUAAAUUUUUAUUGAUAACAUGGUUUUAUAUCAUUUUUAUAUCAUUUACAUUUCCUACUAUAGCCUUCCCUUCACCCAUAAAGCAGGAGUAGGGAAAAAAAAUGGCAAAAACCAUUUGUGGACUAUACAAAAAAUUAUCAAUUUAAUGAACUCAAGCAGUGAGAGGUUGUCAUGCCUAGCUUUCAGUUCAUCAUUGCCUGCAGUUGGCUUAGCAAAUGAUCUUGUGGGCCUUAUGACCUGUGGGCUGGAUGAACCCACAUCUACACUAGACUCUUUCUUUAUAAUAAAUAAUUUUUAAAAGAAGAAGAAAAAAAAUUAACCAUUAAAAAAUUAUAUAUAGUGUUCCACACAAAUGGCCCUUCACAUCUAUAGAAGCAGAAGAAAGUUUAUUUUCAUUCUGUUCUUGAGGCUGAAUUAUGUCAUUUACAAUUUGCAUUUAAUGUUUGUCAUUUUUUCCUUAUCCUAGUUCUACUUAUAUGACUUCAUAUUAACUCACAGAAGUCUUUGCAGACCUCUAUAGUCAUCAUAUUCUUUGUUUCUUAUAGUAUGGUAUUAUUUCACUAUAUCCACAUGCCCAAUCUGAUAACCAUUCUCCAGGCAAUGGACAUUUAUUUGGUUUCUAGUUCUUUGACAAAGAAAGACUCUCUCUCUCUCUCUCUCUCUCUCUCUCUCUCUCUCUCUCUCUCUCUCUCUCUCUAUAUAUAUAUAUAUAUAUAUAUAUAUAUAUCCUACUUGACUUGUAUACCUAUCUUUGAAUCUCUGAGGCAAGGGGUCUAUUUUAGUCACUUUAUUUGUGUAAUUCUAAAUUGCUUUCCAAAAUGGUUGGACCAAUUCAAAGCUCUGCCUAUAAUAUGUUAAUGUUCAUCUUUCCACCAUCCCUGAAACUUCCUACCUUUUGUCACACUUUUUUCCAGUUUGCUGGAUAUGAAGCAAAUCCUCAGAAUCAUUACUGGUUUGCAAUUCUUAUUUUGAGAACAAUUUGUUCAUGCUCUUUAGCCACUUAUUUAUUGGAGAAUAGCUUUGUCAAACCCCUACCAGAGAUAUUACAAAGAUUUUUUCCCUAGGCAAGCUCUUCCUUCCUUAUCAUAGUUGCAUCAAUAUCCUAGUUACAUUAACUUAAUUAAUGUAAAAGACCUUCAAUUUCAUUUAAUUGAAAUGAUUUGUUUUAUCUUUUAUAAUUAUCUCUAAUCCUUAUGUGGUUAAUAAUUUAUCCUCUCCCCAUAUAAAAGUAUUUGAUUUGUUUCUUUUCUCAUUUUAAAAAAAGUUAUAGUCAAAAAUUAAUUAAGUGAUCCUUGGCACUGUGCUAUAUGCUGAAUAUACAACAGAAGACAAAACAUGCUCUCUGCCUUCAAGGAAAUUACAUUCUAAUGGAAGAGGCACUAUGCAAGAAAUUGUGCAUGUGUGUGUAUUUGUGUGUGUGUGAUAAUGGUGAUUCCUUUUUUAAUCACAGGUUAAAAUGUAAAAGGUUACAUGGCCUAUGAAAGUUAUUCUAACUAAAUUUCCUGGGUCUGGGAACAGAAAUAGGACGUGUUUAUAUUUCUUCAUCAGGAAGUUUAUUUUAGUAGUUAUUUGAAAAAUAGAUACUAGGACCAGGAGAUCAUUAUAUACUUCAACAACAAUACUAUAUGAUGAUCAAUUCUGAUGGAUGUGGCCCUCUUCAGCUAUGAGAUGAACCAAAUUAGUUCCAAUAGAACAUUAAUGAAUUGAACUAGCUACACCCAGCGAAAGAACUCUGGGAAAUGGGUAUGAACCACUACAUAGAAUUCCCAAACCCUCUAUUUUUGUCCGCCUGCAUUUUUGAUUUCCUUCACAGGCUAAUAGUACACUAUUUCAAAGUCUGAUUCUUUUUGUGCAGCAAAAUAACUGUAUGGACAUGUAUACAUAUAUUUUAUUUAACAUAUACUUUAACAUAUUUAACAUGUAUCGGUUUACCUGCCAUCUGGAAGAAGGAGUGGGGGAAAGGAGGGGAAAAAUUGGAACAGAUUUUGCAAUUGUCAAUGCUGAAAAAUUACCCAUUCAUAUAUCUUGUAAAUAAAAAGCUAUAAUAAAUAAAUAGAUACUAAUUAUGGCAAUUAAGUCAUUUAUAGAAUGCUUUAGCUCAGUGUAUAAUGAAACUCAAAUGGAUAUACACACAUGUAUAUAUCACUUUGCAAAUGUCAAAAUACUAAAUGUCAGAUGAUGUUAUUUAUUUGUGUAUUAUCUGCGUUAUAGAUUAAAAAAACAGACUUGGAUUAAGUGACUUGACCCCUUUCACAUAGAUAUGAAGUAUUACAGGCAGGAUCUGAACCCACAUCUAGCACUUUAUCAACCAUAUAGGAUGUCCUACAAGUCUUACUACAGUUUUAAGCUUUAAUAAUUUACUGCACUGUCUUUUGUGACCUAGUAUGUUAUUGGAUUAGGAAGAAUUCAUUUACCAUGCAUUCCUUGAACACCUUCUUUAUGUCUAGAACUACCAUGGCAGGCACAGGAGGGGAGAGGAGCAGUGGGAGUCAAAGCCUUCUCUCAGUUGCAGUCUAGUAGGCUCAGUUCUGAUGCAUUCCUUUAUUCCAUUGAGUAGGGAUGGACAGUGGCCACUAGAGAGCUCCAGUGCUUUCUAAGAAAUUAGCCUCUGCCUUGAACUUAGAACUCUCAAGCAGACCAUUUAAGGCCAAGUUUACCAUGUUUACUGCGUUAUCUAAUCUGCUUCCAUGACAAUUAGGCGAUAUCUAUCCCUAAGGUUAAACAAAUCCCAGGACUGGAGGAGGUUUCUGUUUAAGUUAAUCUUAUUUGACUCUAGGUACCAGAAAUGUUUUAAGGUUUUUCAAACAGUUCAUUCCAGAGAAGUCAGAAAGAAGCUCAAACAAGGGGACAGAGGCACAAAUACCAAUCCCAUGCACAUAGCUAGAGGCCCAUAGAAAGUUCUACUGUAUAGCCACUCCCAGACUAACCCAAGAAAUAUAUGACAUGUAUUAGAAAAGAGAAAAUGUGCACACUUCAGAUUUGUGUAUACAAAUACAAGAAACACAUAGGUGGCCAGGAACUGCAUGUUGCUUGAGUGCUCACAAAUGGAAGGCUUACACUAUGAUAGGAAAACUCAAAAUAUGAUACUACAGAAGGAGGCAACAAUGUGAAAAUAACUACAACCAAAGUCUCAAACUAAAAAUACUGAUCAGAUUCAAGCCCAAUAAAAAUUCCUGAAAGAGUUAAAGAGCUAAGAGUGGUGGAGGAAUGAAAAUUACAAAAAGAGAAUUAACAGCUUGAUAUUUUAAAAAAGGCAAAAACCCCCAAAGAAAACAACGUUUAAAAAAAUAGAAUUGACCCAAUGGUUAGAGAGACUUUAAAAUAUAUUGAAAGAAUUCCUUUAAAAAGCUGAAAAGGCUAAAUGGAAAAGGAGAAACAAAAAUUCACAGAAAAAUUCCUGAAAAAUUAGAAUUGAGUAAGUGGAAAGUAAUGAUGCCAUGAGACAUCAAAAACUAAAAUCAAAAGAAUGAAAAAAUAGAAAAAAAAUUGUGAAAGAUUUCAUUGGGAAAACAACUGACCUGGAAAAUAGAUCAGGGGAGAGAUAAUUUAAGAACUAUUGGACUGUUUGAAAGCCAUGAUUAAAAAAAAAACCCAAAGGAACCCCCCGAAACCGAGUUAUCUUUUCUAAAAAAUUAUAAAAGUUCCCUGACAUCUUAGUACAGAAGGUAAAAUGGAAAUUGAGAGAUGCUACCAUUCAUCUUCCCUAUUUUUCCUAGUGUAGCCUUCUUUCUCAUUCCUUAUUUAUUUAUUUUUGAGAGAGGGUGUCAUCCAAACAUAAAUCCACUCACACUCAUGCCCUCUAAGUAUGCACUUAUUAACCGCUUAAUAAUGAUAAGGUUCUUAAUAGAUACACAUAUCAGCUUCUCAUAUUUGAAAUGAAAACCAUUUAUUCUUAUUGAAUCCCUUAUGAUUUCUUUCCUGUUUACCUCACUGUAAUGUCAAAGCUACUAAAUGUUAUGUUACCUUGAAUGUAAGUGCCACAAUAUUUGAAUUGUUUCUUCUGGCUGCUUACAGUAUUUUCUAUUUGACUUGGGAGCUCUGUAAUUUAGCUAUAAUAUUAUUGAGAAUUUUCAUUUUGAGAUCUCUUCUAGGCUCUUUUUUUUUUUAUCAUGGCUUUUAGGCAGUUCAAUUCUGAUUUUUAAAAAUAUAUUUUUUCAUCACUGAGUUUAUGUACCUUCUUUUUCAUUUGUCCAGUUUUACUUUUUAAGGAGUUGCUUUCUUUUGUGAAUUGUUAUCUAUUCCAUUAGGUCAGUUCUGCUUUUUCUUAAAGUUAUGCUCUUUAGUGGAUUUUUGUGUUUCUUUUUAUCAUCUGGCAUAUUGUUUUUUAAGGUGUUAUUUUCUUUUGUGCAUUACUCUCAUUUCUUUCCUCAAUUUUCCCUCUACCUCAUAAAAGUAUGUUUUUUCCUCAUUUUAAAAAAAGUUAUAGUACAGUCAAAAAAGAAUUAAGUGAUCCUUGGCACUGUACUGUAUGCCGAAUAUACAACAGAAGACAAAACAUUCUCUCUCUGCCUUCAGGGAAAUUACAUUCUAAUGGAAGAGGCACUAUGCAUAUAACUUCUAAAUAAAAAGCUAUAAUAAUAAUAAAAAAAGAUAUUAGUUCUUUAAAAAAAGUGAAUGUUGCAAACUUGAAAACAAAAUAUUUAAACUUGACCCCAGGGAAGUAGAGGUGUAUGUGUGCAGUGGUCCAUGGGUGUGUAACAUUAUGUAUAUUGUCAUAUUUUUUGAUUUAUUGGAUCAGUUCUGCAGAUUUUUUACUCCUUAAAAAAUAUUUGUUUUAUGGGUUGGCUUUCUGUGAGGGAGAAAAAGGAGGGAUACAUGAGGAAAUCAAAAAGAAAAAUAUCAACAAAAUUUAUUUAAAAAAUGAAAAAAAAUGAAGAAAUAUAUAAUCUUGUAGCCUUCCAUGUUCUAAAAGUCAAAUGAAGCAUUUGUGUAUCUACCAUGUCCAAGCCAUUGGUGUUGAGUGCUGGGAGCCAUAGAGCUGAAAAUUAUAUAGGACCAUAUAAUCUUUUAGAGAUGAUAAAUCAUGAAUAAUUAUGAUAUACUAAAAUUUAAAAAGGAGAAAGGAGAGAUUCAGGCAGAAUGCUAUAAGAUAAUUUAAUGUGAAGGUGGCAUUUCAAUUUGAGGGAUAAAGAGACAUGAUACUUGAUGUAGGCAUUGAAGUAAGAGAAGGAUUUUGGUAGGUUCAGAUAAAGAAAUGAAUUCCAAGUUUUAUGGAUGUAUAGAGAUAGGAUGAGAAUAAGGAAAGCUCCUAGUUCAUUUUGUUAGGAUGGCAAAGUAUAUAAAGGUGACCAGGAUGAAAUAAAGAUGGAAAGGUAGAAUAGAGCCUUACAUUUUAUACCAAAUAUUUUGUAUUUUGUCAGUAGGGAGCUACUGAAUGUUUUUGAGCAAGGGAGUGAUAUGUUGGACAUAAACAGAAUGAUGAAUUAGAAGAGGGAGACAAGGUAGUUUGGAUGCAAUGGCAGUAGCCUAGCUAAGUUGUGAUAUGGGUCUGAAAAUAGGGUGGUUUUGAGUAGAGAGAUAGGGGACCAAUUUGAGAGAAAUUAUAAGAAAUAAAAUGGAAAGGACUUGGCAGAUAUGAUUGUAGGGGGAUGAUGGAAAAGGAAAAAAAUCAAAGAUAACUUGACAGUUACAAUCAGGCACAAGCAGUGGCUACUCCCCAGUAAACCUUCUGGACAGACAGGCUAAACAAAGCUGAGGGUAACUGAUGAGCCUCAAACUACCUGCUAAGUUAGGGAGGUGUCUCCUUCAAAUACUGUAAGACUGCCCUGGGUGCAAUGGGUGGAUGAGAGCAGUUGUUCCAUAGCCAUGAAGGAGGCUGAGGCAGGUGCUACAGAGUGCUUAGAGCUGGGUCAGACAUCGGGAAUCCCAGGGUUAUUUGCUGCCUCCUGAGCCUUUGCUGGUCAUCUUCACUUCAAUCCUGCCAGCAACCUGGUGGGAUUCAGGGAAAGAGUGAGGCGGGCAGCUUUGGAUUACUCUGCCUCUCGCAGUCUAGGUCAUCAUCACUCGAAGUCUCGUUCUUCUUUGAAAGCUAAAGGCAAAAACAACUGUGCCCAAGCAAUAGAGUGAAGUGGAAAAGAGGUUUGAGAAAAUUUUCUUUUUAUAUAGUCUAUUUGAGAUGCUAUUGAAACAUCCAGGUGGAGCUAUCCAGCAGGAAAUUGGAAAUAUAGGUUUGGGGUUAAAUAGAUAGACAUGGCCAUCUUUUGCAUAAAGAUGAUAAUCAAAGCCAGAGAGAAGAUGAGAUUAUUCAGACAGAAUAUAUUAGACCAAGAAAAGAUGACGUAGAAUAGAGCUUUGAGGGCCCCUACAUCUAAAAUGCUCCAGGAAAAAGGAGAAGUAAGGAGACGAAUAAGGAACUUGUACAGGUGGUAGAUGAACCAAGAGAACAAACGCCUGGAAGCCAGAAAGAAAUAGUAUAAAUAUAAGGCAAGAGAGGAUGGUUGGGGUUAUUAAAUCUGGCAGGGAGAGCUAAGAAAAGGCCAUUGGAUUUUCCACUUGGGAGACUAAGGUCACUGGUGACCUUAGAGAGAGGAGGUUCAGUAGAAUGGUAAGAGACAAAUCCCUGAUUUUAAAAGUUAAGGUGAGUGGAUAGUGUAGAAUAUUCUUUAUAGAAAUUUAGAGUGAAAGUGGGAGAGAGAUUAUUUGAGUGGAUUGCAGGAUAAAAGGGAGGUUUUUUAGGAUGGGAAUACCAGAGAAUGUCAGAACACAAAUAGGUGGCACAGUGGGUAGGCCUAGAGUGAGGAAGACCAGAGUUCAAAUCAAUCCUCAAACAGUUACAUGACUCUGGGCAAGUCACUUAACUCUAUUUGCCUGUUUCCUCUUAUGUAAAAUGGGGAUAAUAAUAGCACCUACCUUGUAGCAUUGUGAAGCUCAGAUGAGAUAAUAUAAAAUUUUAGUACAGUGCUUGAUAUAAAUGUUAAUUAUUAUUAUUAUGAAAAGCUUUGAUUUCCUAAGAUAUAUAACUAGAUCUCUUAGGCACCUGUUUGUAAGGACCAACUGCACUUUUAAAAAGCAGGUCUCUGUGUAUAUAUGUACACAUGAGUACAUAUGCUUAUUAAUAUUGUGUUCUUUUGUCUUAUAAUGGUGUUCCUGAAAUACUCAGUAUAAGAGAGUUUUUUGGUAACAUAUUCUUAGUGCACUAAAAUAAUCUCACUACAAAAAUGAGCAUGCAAUAAAUCUUUCUAUAAAUGAGUCAUUUUGCAGUGUCAAUAGUGACUCUGAUGAAUCUGUAUUGAAAAAUCAGAUUUUCACAUCUAUGUAGAUAGUCAUGUUAGUAUUAUUGUAGAGAGUUUUAUAUUUCCCUGAGUGUGAUUAAUUGUGAUUUAUACGUUCAGGUAAUAAUAAGCCUUAUUCAUAAGGUUCUGCUGGUUGGGCACAACUAUAUAAAAAUUUGGGUCUUUGUUUUUUGGAGGGGUGGAGUUAAAAAUGUUUUCAUAUUUGAAUGUUUAAAUUUUCUCCAUCUCAGCUGUUUAACUAAGACAAUCAUACCUAACGAUGACUUGAAUUUCUGACUUGUGAUCUGAAGUCUCUUUAAGUUUGUUAAACAACAAUUCACUUCUUCCUUCUGGGUCCUAAAUUUUUUACCCUAUUUUAUCAUGAUGCCCCCUUUCCUCAGUUAUUUAUGUGUGGCUUAUUUAUGACAAUCCAAGUCCUCCUUCCAAAUAGUAAGCCGUUAUCUCAAGAUCUGCAGCACUGAGAAUGAAUCAAAUAAGGAAUCAGAAAGUCCAUACAGAAGAAAAUGAGUUUUCUUCUAAGUUUAUGACUUACAUAAAUGCAAAUCCAAACAUGUGUUAUUUGAAAUUACCCACCCUUCUGCAUUAAACAUAACUUGCCUCUCUAGUCAUGGAUGACAGUUUAAGGAAAUAAUUGGCUCAUUCUUCAUCUUAAUUUUUCUCCAUGUGACAUUUCCUUGGCAUGUAUGGAAUGAGAAUAGCAGUAGUGUUUAUAGGGUUACACAGAAGCAGUAUUAAAGAUUCUGGUUACCAGAUCUAGAGAACAUUCUCACUUGUCCAGAAAUUGAACCCAACUGAAAGGCCUUUUCCUUCUAGAUUCUUUUCACCAGAUGUUCACUUCUUAGGUCCAUUAGCAGAAAGUGGCCCCUGACACCCUCCUUGUCUAAGGUAAAUCAUGUGAUUUCAGAGAAUCAGACCUCACCUUGAUUAUCAGGUGCAGCAUCAGUAACUGCAGUGACUAGGAGGCCAGAGUCUAGAGUUAAAUAUUAAGAAGGUAGUACCUGUAAGUAUCCCUUAAGCAGGUUUAAGGGUUGUUUUUCAGUUUAUUGCUUCCAGUUAAUCAGAAGUUUUCUGGAAAGAACCAGGUGGCAAAUUCAGCUCGGAGACUCCAAGCUCAAAGCCACGAAUGAGCUGGCAGAACUGCUUCACCUUUGGAAGGAGGUGAAGCUUUGAGUCAUCCAAAGCUGAAGUCAGUUUCUAUGGAACUCUCAUUUCUUGGAAUUUGGCCAGUGAGCUUCAACACCCAACCAACCCUGUGAUAAGUGGAAAGAAGAUCCGAAAUGCCUGCUGGCUAGGUGUAUAGCCAGGUGUGUUCACCUUUUGGUUGCUAGUCAGCCUUAGCAUUUCUCUGUACAUUUCUAAUGUCUACCUGGGUAGUUAGAAACUUUUUCUGAGAUUUAAGGGGGCCAAGUAUCAGAAAGUGAUGUGAGGGAUUGCUGAGAAAGACUUCGUCAAUAUUUUUCUGUUCGUUUGAGGAACUCCAGGUCUUCCCUAUAGUACUUAUAAAGCGUAAUGGACGCCCUUCUGGCUGAGUAUUGCCAGAUGAGGUCUGUAUUCAGUGCUGGGCACAUUAAAUGGAAUCAGUAAUGACAAUAGAAACUCUUACCCUACUUUUAUCCUUUGGGUUAUUCUUUGGUCAUAAUGGUGAGGGAGAAUGGAUAUUUUAUCCAAGCCUACAGAGGUAGCUCAAAUCCAUACGAGAUACCUUUGAACAAUUGCAUAGCUGGUUCUACUUUGUACAUGAGUAUAUGAAAGGGAAGUAUAAGUGUUGGAGUAAGAAUCCAGGGCUUUGUUAAGUAUAGAAGUUCAAAAGUUGGAGUUGAUUGUUCAGCUCUUUGGUUUAUAUGAAAUUCAUUUUUAUACCUCUUUCUCUGACAUAAUCAUCAAGAAUAGUGAUGAUUCACACUUUACCAACACCAUCCUCCUUUGCCUUCUGCAGGAUGUGUGUAAAAGUAAAUUUUUUUGGUAGUUUUCUUCAAUUCUUGUUUCUUCCAGUUUCUAACUGGAAUUACCAAGUCAGAUAGACUUGGUGAUAUGUGCUCAGCUGCAUUCAGGGGAAAUUGUUUGAAUAAUAUUGUAAAUAUUUGAGUAGAAGAUUAAAGAUUUCCAGAAAUAGCAAAGUGAAAAAUUCAAAGAAGAGUUCAACUUCAGGACCCAAGCCAGCCUGUCCUCUUAGUCAAAGUUUGCCUCAGUGUCAUUGGAAGAUCCUGGGUUGCACAGGGUAUUAUAAAGAAUAGCUUCUUCUCCCAUAUUAUAUUCUAACCAUCACUCCCAAUUCCUCACCACUAUCACUUUAACAUAGGAUUUAUGAUGUCGUCUGGUUAAAUGUUACAGAAAGGCUUACAUUCUUCACAAUUUGUAAGUGUUUGAGUUGCCAGAAUAAUCAUAAAUGAUAUUGGUAUUCCCAAGUUCUAGACAGUAGCUGUAGCCCAAGGUAGACUCCUAUUGGUUUUACUAUGUAUAGGAGAGGAUCCACCAAACAGACAGUUUUUAAACUGGCUCAUUGAUUUUACCAAAGAAUCUGCAGCAUCCUGGAUAGAAUGAUUUGAGGGUCAAGUCAUUUGAAGACUUCUAAAGACAAGUUAGAAUUUGAUCAACUCUUCAAUUAUAGGUUUUCUGUUUAGAUCAGGACAUUUGUCUUUGUAGAAUUCCAUUUAGAUAAGCUGCAAACUUUUGACAUUGUUGCAGUAUCACCUUUGACCUCUGGAGUGUUAUAAAAAAAAGUGUGAACCAGAAAUCAACACAGCAACAGAAGAGCACAAUAUUAUGCUUAUGACAUCAUAGUUCUGCCUGGACAUAGAACUUUCACAUGGCAUUUAUAAAAAGAAGAGGUCCAUAUGCAGUAUAUAAAAAUAUUUAUCCUCUUAGGGUAGCAAGGAAGUAGAAAUAAAAAUCCCUAUUGAUUGGGGAAUGGCUAAGCAAAUUGUGGCAAAUUAAUGCAAUGUUUUUUAUAGGUAUAGCUGUAAGAAACAACAAAUGAGAAUACAGAGAAGCAUGGAAAAACUUAAAAGAACUGAAGAAAAGUCAAAUAAGUAUAGCCAAGGAAACAGUAAACAUAAUGAUUAUAACAAUGUGAAUGGAAAUAACCACAGUCACAAAAAAUUGAAAAUUAAUGUUACCCAGUUAUAAAGAACAAGCCUAGUCCCCAAAAAGAGAUGAAGAUACCUUCUUUGCAGAAAGUUGAGGAGGUCUAUAUUGUAAUUUUUUAUGUAUUGCUUAGUUUUGCUGAUAUUUUUCCUUCCUCUUUAAAAAAUAUUUUUUCUUACAAGGGAUAGUUCUCUGGAAGGGGGAAAGGAAAGGAGGGAAAGGAAGGAAGAAAGAGGAAAAUUUAGGUGAUAUAAAAAUAAAAGAUGCCAACAAAAAUUUAUUUGAAAAAAAGUACUCGGCAUUGGCCAAGUCUGAUAGAGGCAUUGAUUUUGACUGACAAAUACAAGAUACAUUGGUGGUUAGGGAGAGUAAUAAAUGAACAGAAAUUCAGUUAAAUAGAUAGGUAUCUGGCCCUGUUGUGUGCAAUACUAUUCUGGCACUGGGGGCAUAAGGAGGAAUAGAGAAGAAAAGAUGCAUAAGAUGCCAUUCCUGUCCCUUAUUGAGGAAUCUAUUGUGUAGAGAAGAAUAUGACAUGUAAUUACAUGUGUGCACAUAUACACAUAUACACACAAACAUAUCAAAGUAGUGAGAGAGGACAAAAAUAGUGAUAUGAGACUGCAGAAAAAAAGAGGAAUUUCUUUACUUUAUGGAGGGGAGACUCAAAGAAUAUUUCAUGGAGAAUUUCAUUGGGCUUUAAAGGAUGAAUAUAUGACAGGUUGAGGGAAUUGGGAAGUUUUGGGAUACGGUCUUGGAAUGGUGAGAAGUCUGGUUUGCUAGAGAAACAGAGAUUUCUUUGGUUUGAAUCUGUGACUACAUUUUUGUGAGGUUCACCUAGUAAAGAAACUUCUUCCACUAAUGCAGCUCUGCACCUUAUUUUUAUGUCACUUAAGAGUCUUAGAGUUGUCUGGGACAUUGAGAAAUUAAGUGAUCUUGUUUAUGGUCACCCAUCCAGUAUAGGUCAGGGGCAGGAUUUGAAAUCAGAUCCACCUGACUCCAAGGUUGACUCUCUAAUAUAUCAUGUUGUGUUAUAUGUGAUAUGAAGCUUGGAAUUAGGGCUGAAUUUUAGAGUGUCUUGAGUGCUGGACCCAGGUAGUUUGAAUUUCAUUUUUAUAGGUAAGUAGAGAAUGGCGAAUAUUUUCUUUUAAUAAGAAUAUGAUAUGAGCAGAGCUAAGUAGAUUAAAAAGAUAGUAGAUAAAGAAAAUCUUUAUUAUAGUAGCAUCAAAUAUAGAUUGGUGAAUAGCAGAAAAGAGGUUAUUUCAGUAGAGCAGGCAGGAAGCUAUGAGACCACUAAAAAUAUGGUACCAUUGUGGAUGAAGAAGGAAGAAUAAUAUAGAAUCACAGAAUUUUAUGUAUAGAUUUGUAAGGAGUACUAACAAUUUAGGUUUCCACAAACAUUGCAAAACAGGAUAAAGGGGAGGGGUGAAAUAUCUUGUUAAGAUAUCUCCAGUCAUUCAACAUGUGAGCCAAGAAAUUGGCUAAACCACAAAGUUCCUGAUAAAGGCCUAGGGCCCAAACUGGCUCAGACUGCCGAGGGUAUGACAGGGCACAAACUUUUUGCAAGUAUACUUACUUAAUGAGUUUCAUACAUAUUACUUAAUACAUCCCAGGGGGAGGAGGCAGCCACCAUUUUCUAACCAAUGGAAUGGGUGGAUAAAGAAGAUUGUAAAUCCCAUCGAUUGUAACUUAGAUUGUAAAUCCAACCAGUUGUAACUGGGACCAAUUUGAGCCUUGAAAGGAGGGGUAAAGAACCAAACUUCUGUAUAAAGUAUUUGUCCCAGUAGCUUGCAUUUGGGGAAGCAGUGGGCAGUGGCAGCUCAUUCCCGGCUUAAUCCCCAACCCUGCUGGGUUCUAUAGGGUUUUUGAUAACAAUUUGGGGGCUUGUCCUGGAUUCCCUGAGACCCCCCCCCCCCCCAAGGUGGCUGCUGCCUGAGGCUGAGUUGAAGAGAAGCGCUCUUGCCAACCUUUCCUCCGGGACUGCACAUGGGAUCUGAGACAUCGGUGUUGGCUGAGUAGAGUGACGGAACAAAUCUGGGAAAGAGGAAGCUGGCCGGGGACCAUGCAAGUUGUUAUAUCAAACAAGGGAAGAGAGGGGUAUGAUCAGAAGGGCAGCUAUGGAAAUGUGGGAGAGGAGACAUCCUUCCUCCUAGGACAUUUUUGCCUGCUGAAGUUAAAUACCUUAAUGUGGAUUCUGGAUGGAAGAAUAGCUGGAAUGAAGGAAGCAGAACCAGAAUCUCAAAAUUUGAAUAAGGCUUUCAACAUCACUCAGAAGAAGAAUGAAACUCCCUCUAAAUUCUUAAGGAGAAUGAAGGAAAAUAUGAGAAAGUAUUCUGUACUGGCUCCCCAAGAACCAGGUUAAUUUUGCAACAAAUUCUUGGCUGGACAUUGACAAAAAGCUCCAGAAAAUAGAUGGAGCAUCCUGCUGUUAGAAGAGCUGUUGAGGGAAGUAGAGAAAGUAUAUAUAAGGAGAGAGGAACAAAAGCAGAAGAUCAGACUUAUGGUAUAGACGGCAAGGGAAGUUGUGAAGAAGGUGCCCCCUAGAUUAGGGAGGCCACUGAAGGGACAAAGCAAGUUGAAUUUGAACCAUUGGAAACAGAUGGAUAGAGAAAUGUAGUGAAGCAGGACUCAAAAGAGAAGUGGAAGGAACUUCUUCAUAAAGGCUUGCUGGAACAGACCCCACCACUUGAGUUUUGCUGUUCAUCCUUUAAAGCCAAAUGACUGACCGAUGAUAAUGAUUUGGAAAGAGAAGAAAUGGUGUCCCGGCUGGGAUGGACCUCAUCAGAUCUUGCUGAAAUUAUACCAAGGAUCCAACUGAUGGUGCAGAUGAGCAUGCAAAGAGAUGUUGAUUCAAAUACACCCAGAAAGAUUCCUCUGUCCUUUCACUGACCACCAAACAGUUUAACACAUCAGUUUGUUCUCCAACAAGAUGAUUCCAUCAUACUUCCUAAAUGGAUAAAUGGCUUUCCUAACCCAUGCUUUGAACCUGAUUGACUUGGACCUUUGAACAUCAGAGGAACUGUUGCUCUCCGACUUUCAAUUGGGUGGAAAUAUUUAUGUUCUAAACCAAACUGAAUUUGGAAAGAAUCCAACCAUUCUUAUGGAUUGCUACAGAAGCAAAUUUUAACAUCUGCUUAUUGAGAGGGACAGUGCUUUUAUUUCUGUCAGAACUGGACCUAAUAACUUCCUCUUGUUUCUCUGCUCUGAGGCAGUCCCAAAGAAGGGUUUAUUUAAUGUUUUAGCUUGAACCUUUAUAGCCAAGUUCUGAACACAUUAUCUUUUUAUGGUGUAUUUGAUUAAUGAUUUAUCAAAAGUCUGAUAACAGCCAUGUUGAAGAGCAAAUUUGCACUAGAUUAACAUAUUGCUACACCUGCUGGUCUCCAGGGGACGUUGGGCAGACACAAGUUCUCCACCCAUCCAUUUCCCAGACUGAUUGCUGACUAUAAACUGUGGUAAGAGCCCUCUAAAGAGAUCUUCCCCUGACAUCCUCUUCCCCCAAAGUUGGUGUUAUGGGAUUUUCCCCUUUAAUUCUGCCUUUUUGACUAUCUGUGGAACACAUCUUACCUUUUUUAAAUUAAAAUUUUAUUGAUAACAUUCUUUUU
rnacentral:lncRNA from 1 species